UCUGCUGACGAGCGGCGGACGGGUGAGUAAUGCUUGGGAAUGUACCUUAUGGUGGGGGACAACAGUUGGAAACGACUGCUAAUACCGCAUAAUGUCUUCGGACCAAAGCGGGGGACCUUCGGGCCUCGCGCCAUAAGAUCAGCCCAAGUGGGAUUAGCUAGUUGGUGAGGUAAUGGCUCACCAAGGCGACGAUCCCUAGCUGGUUUGAGAGGAUGAUCAGCCACACUGGGACUGAGACACGGCCCAGACUCCUACGGGAGGCAGCAGUGGGGAAUAUUGCACAAUGGGCGCAAGCCUGAUGCAGCCAUGCCGCGUGUGUGAAGAAGGCCUUCGGGUUGUAAAGCACUUUCAGUAAGGAGGAAAGGUUGGAUGUUAAUAGCAUUCAGCUGUGACGUUACUUACAGAAGAAGCACCGGCUAACUCCGUGCCAGCAGCCGCGGUAAUACGGAGGGUGCUAGCGUU
rnacentral:rRNA from 1 species